UAGAGACCGGAAGCUGAGCCAGAGCGGCUGCUCUCAACGGCUGCUUUAUCCCGCCGGCCUUCCGGCCCAUCAGUACCACCCGUCUGUGCGAUUCUGGGUCGGCAGCCCGUCUCGGAGCCAGGGCUGGAAGAAAGCGAACGCCGCCUGCGACCGAGAUGCGUGACGUCUGCAGCCCUUCACUCUUUGGUGAAGUCAGUGGGAGACCAGACUUUCCGGAAAUUUGUCUUUUGAGAAAGCCUUUCUUUGAGCCAUUGUUUACAGACUGAAAAAACAAUGGAUGUCAAAGCUACGUCGUGCAAGUUUAAAGAUCUAAAAGCUCAACACGGAUACUGUCCAGUUUGGGGUUUGUUUUCCACAGAUGGAAGUUGGGAGUGUUAGUCGUCGUGCCGAGACCAUACCGGAAAAGGCAGGGUUGCUAUCCACAGGGCUUCUACUUCAACUGAGGCUACACAUUCACCAGUGCCCUCUUUCCAGUGUCCAGCCUUGGCUGCUCUUCAUAACCCCUUUAUGUCUUCAAGACCAGCACCACCUGGGAAACCCUUGCACAUUACCAAGUUGGCUGCCAGAAGAUGUAGAUUUGGCCACCUCUGAACCACAGGUCUUAUGAGCUAACCCCAAGGAGACGCUACUGCCUCUUGUCACCUCCUACCCUAGGGUCUGUGUCAUCCUGGAACUUGCUAUGUGAACCAGGUUGACCUCAAACUCACAGAGAUCCUUCUGCCUCUGCUUCCUGAGUGCUUAAAUUAAAAGUUGUGCCAGCAA